UACGGGGGGGGCAAGCGUUGUUCGGAAUUACUGGGCGUAAAGGGCUCGUAGGCGGCCAACUAAGUCAGACGUGAAAUCCCUCGGCUUAACCGGGGAACUGCGUCUGAUACUGGAUGGCUUGAGGUUGGGAGAGGGAUGCGGAAUUCCAGGUGUAGCGGUGAAAUGCGUAGAUAUCAGGAGGAACGCCGGCGGCGAAAGCGGCGCACUGGACCUCUACUGACGCUGAGGCGCGAAAGCCAGGGGAGCAAACGGG
rnacentral:rRNA from 1 species